rnacentral:rRNA from 1 species
UCCUACGGGAGGCAGCANUGAGGAAUCUUGCGCAAUGGACGAAAGUCUGACGCAGCCAGCCGCGUGGAGGAAGACACCCCUAUGGGGCGUAAACUCCUUUUGUGUGAGAAGAAUAUCCGGGUUUGCCCGGCUUGACGGUAUCACACGAAUAAGCACCGGCUAACUCCGUGCCAGCAGCCGCGGUAAUACGGAGGGUGCAAGCGUUGUCCGGAAUCACUGGGUGUAAAGGGUGCGUAGGUGGGGCAGCAAGUCAGGGGUGAAAGGCUACGGCUUAACCGUGGAAUUGCCUUUGAUACUGUUGUUCUUGAGUCCUGGAGAGGUCGCUGGAAUUCGUGGUGUAGCGGUGAAAUGCGUAGAUAUCACGAGGAACACCAGAGGUGUAGACGGGUGACUGGACAGGUACUGACACUGAGGCACGAAAGCGUGGGGAGCAAACAGGAUUAGAUACCCUGGUAGUCCACGCCGUAAACGAUGGAUGCUCGGUGUUGCACCGCUCUUGGUGCAGCGCCNUAGCUAACGCGUUAAGCCC